rnacentral:rRNA from 1 species
GACGAACGCUGGCGGCGUGCUUAACACAUGCAAGUCGAACGGAAAGGCCCUGCUUUUGUGGGGUGCUCGAGUGGCGAACGGGUGAGUAACACGUGAGUAACCUGCCCUUGACUUUGGGAUAACUUCAGGAAACUGGGGCUAAUACCGGAUAGGAGCUCCUGCUGCAUGGUGGGGGUUGGAAAGCUUCGGCGGUUGGGGAUGGACUCGCGGCUUAUCAGCUUGUUGGUGGGGUAGUGGCUUACCAAGGCUUUGACGGGUAGCCGGCCUGAGCGGGUGACCGGCCACAUUGGGACUGAGAUACGGCCCAGACUCCUACGGGAGGCAGCAGUGGGGAAUAUUGCACAAUGGGCGGAAGCCUGAUGCAGCAACGCCGCGUGCGGGAUGACGGCCUUCGGGUUGUAAACCGCUUUCGCCUGUGACGAAGCGUGAGUGACGGUAAUGGGUAAAGAAGCACCGGCUAACUACGUG